rnacentral:RNase_P_RNA from 2 species
GCAGAUGGUCGGAGAGGUGCUGGGGCAACCCAGAGGAAAGUCCGGGCUCUAUAAAGACACGGUGCCGGAUAACGUCCGGCGAGGGUGACCUUAGGGAAAGUGCAACAGAAAGCAAACCGCCUGGAAACAGGUAAGGGUGAAAGGGUGCGGUAAGAGCGCACCGCGCCUUUGGUAACAAAGGUGGCAUGGUAAACCCCACCGAGAGCAAGACCAAAUAGGGAUGACACAUGGCCUGUCUUUGGGUCGUCAUCCGGGUCGGUCGCACGAGGCGUCAGGUAACUGACGUCCCAGAUGAAUACUUCUCCCCUCUCCUUGCAAAAACAAGGAUCUGGGACAAAACCCGGCUUACAGACCGUCUGCGCUU